rnacentral:sRNA from 1 species
AAGUCUUGUCCGGUAAAUCUUCUUAAGUAUCGCAGUUUUAGUCAUAAUUCUUCGUUUUUUUCAGAUUUUAAGUUCCAUUCUUUAUUAUUUUCAAAGUUAUACUCAGUCAUUAAAAACGACUAAAAAUUAUUAAAAUUCAAUAGGAUUUAUUAUGUCUAAUACUAUCAAUGGUACAGUAAAGUGGUUUAACGAAGCUAAAGGAUUCGGUUUUAUUCAACAAGAAUCUGGAUCAGAUGUUUUUGCUCACUUUAGUGAAAUUGCCAGCUCUGGUUUUAAAACUUUAUUCGAAGGUCAGCAGGUAUCUUUCAGUGUUGCUCAAGGUCAAAAAGGCCCUAAUGCUGUAAAUAUUGUUGCUCUAUAACACAUAGCAAGUAAUUAAAA